UACGUAUGGUGCAAGCGUUAUCCGGAUUUACUGGGUGUAAAGGGAGCGUAGGCGGCGCGUUAAGUCUGAUGUGAAAACCCGAGGCUCAACCACGGGAGUGCAUUGGAAACUGGCAUGCUAGAGUGCCGGAGGGGCAAGCGGAAUUCCUAGUGUAGCGGUGAAAUGCGUAGAUAUUAGGAGGAACACCGGUGGCGAAGGCGGCUUGCUGGACGGUAACUGACGUUGAGGCUCGAAAGCGUGGGGAGCAAACAGG
rnacentral:rRNA from 1 species